rnacentral:rRNA from 1 species
GAUGAACGCUGGCGGCGUGCCUAAUACAUGCAAGUCGAGCGAACAGAUGAGGAGCUUGCUCCUCUGACGUUAGCGGCGGACGGGUGAGUAACACGUGGAUAACCUACCUAUAAGACUGGGAUAACUUCGGGAAACCGGAGCUAAUACCGGAUAAUAUAUUGAACCGCAUGGUUCAAUAGUGAAAGACGGUUUUGCUGUCACUUAUAGAUGGAUCCGCGCCGCAUUAGCUAGUUGGUAAGGUAACGGUUUACCAAGGCAACGAUGCGUAGCCGAUCUGAGAGGGUGAUCGGCCACACUGGAACUGAGACACGGUCCAGACUCCUACGGGAGGCAGCAGUAGGGAAUCUUCCGCAAUGGGCGAAAGCCUGACGGAGCAACGCCGCGUGAGUGAUGAAGGUCUUCGGAUCGUAAAACUCUGUUAUUAGGGAAGAACAAAUGUGUAAGUAACUAUGCACGUCUUGACGGUACCUAAUCAGAAAGCCACGGCUAACUACGUG